AACGAACGCUGGCGGCGCGCUUAACACAUGCAAGUCGAACGAGAAGCUGUAGCAAUACAGUUGUAAAGUGGCAAACGGGUGAGUAAUGCGUGGGUAAUCUACCCUAGGGUGGGGAAUAACUCUUCGAAAGGAGAGCUAAUGCCGACAUGUGCAUCACUUUCGCAAGGAAGUGCUGGAAAGCCGUAUCGUGGAUACGGCGCCCAAGGAUGAGCUCACGUCCUAUCAGCUUGUUGGCGGGGUAACGGCCCACCAAGGCUGCGACGGGUAGCUGGUCUGAGAGGACGACCAGCCACACUGGCACUGCGACGCGGGCCAGACUCCUACGGGAGGCAGCAGUGAGGAAUAUUGCGCAAUGGACGAAAGUCUGACGCAGCGACGCCGCGUGGGGGAUGAAGGCCUUCGGGUUGUAAACCCCUUUCAGGAGGGAAGAUGGCCCUUGCAAGAGGGCGGACGGUACCUCCAGAAGCAGCCACGGCUAACUCUGUG
rnacentral:rRNA from 1 species